rnacentral:misc_RNA from 1 species
GAUGAAGAACGUAGCGAAAUGCGAUAAGUAAUGUGAAUUGCAGAAUUCAGUGAAUCAUCGAAUCUUUGAACGCAUCUUGCGCUCCUUGGUAUUCUGAGGAGUAUGCCUGUUUGAGUGUCAUUAAAUUCUCAACUACACUGACUUUGAAUUGGUGUGGCUUGGAUUUGGGGGGAAAAUUGUUGUGGGCUUUUUGUAUAGUUUGCUCCCCUGAAAUUGAUUAGCGGUACCUUUGUGGAACUGUCUACAGGUGUGAUAAUUAUCUACAUCUUAGACAUCUGCUGGAAUGCUGCUUUCUAAACCUUACUUGUAAUGACAAUCUUGACCUCAAAUCAGGUAGGACUACCCGCUGAACUUAAGCAUAUCAAUAAGCGGAGGA